rnacentral:tRNA from 1 species
AAAUAAGAAGCGAUAUAUUGCACCCAGUUUCGACCUGGACUUAGGUUUUAACCCUUAUUUUUA